rnacentral:rRNA from 1 species
GGAGGGUGCAAGACGUUAAUCGGAAUUACUGGGCGUAAAGCGCACGCAGGCGGUCUGUUAAGUCAGAUGUGAAUCCCGGGCUUAACCUGGGAACUGCAUUUGAAACUGGCAGGCUUUGAGUCUUGUAGAGGGGGUAGAAUUCCAGGUGUAGCGGUGAAAUGCGUAGAGAUCUGGAGGAAUACCGGUGGCGAAGGCGGCCCCCUGGACAAAGACUGACGCUCAGGUGCGAAAGCGUGGGGAGCAAACAGGAUUAGAUACCCUGGUAGUCCACGCCGUAAACGAUGUCGAUUUGUAGGUUGUGGUUAUAAACUGUGGCUUGCGGAGCAAACGCGUUAAAUCGACCGCCUGGGGAGUACGGCCGCAAGGUUA